rnacentral:tRNA from 1 species
GGGUAUCGCCAAGCGGUAAGGCACCGGAUUCUGAUUCCGGCAUUCCGAGGUUCGAAUCCUCGUNUUAGGUUCU